rnacentral:lncRNA from 1 species
AAUGACGACUAAUUUCAAAAUAUAGGUGCAAGAAAUUUUUUAAUUUACCUUCUUUUCAAGCAACCUAUGUUUUGUUGUGAGACAGGACUAAUUUGGUGCGUGGUACUAAGAUUUUGAAAUUAUUUAAAGUCUUGGUUUUUUUUUUUUAGACUUGGAGGCUGGAAUGAACUCUUUAAAUCCCCAAAUGAUAAUUAGUGUCAAAAUAUAGGUGCAAGAAAUGUGUCCAUUUUGCUGCUUUUCAAGCCAGCUACGUUUGGUGGUGAGAGUGGACUAAGUUGGUGCUUCGUUCCAAGAUUUGGAAAUUUUUUAAAGUCUUGGAUUUUUAGACUUAGGGGCUACAAUGCACUCUUUAAAUCCCCAAAUGAAGACUAGUGUCAAAAUAUAGGUGCAAGAAAUGGUUCAAUUUAGUUGCUUUUCAAGCAAGCUAUGUUUGGUUGUGAGACUGGACUAAGUUGGUGCUUGGUACCAGGAUUUGGAAAUUUUUGAAGGUCUUGGUUUUUUAGACUUAGGGGCCGCAGUGCACUCUUUAAGUCCCCAAAUGACGUAUAGUGUCAAAAUAUAGGUGAAGGAAUUGUUUCAAUUUUGUUUCUUUUCAAGCAAGCUAUGUUUGUUUGUGAGACUGGACUAAGUUGUUGCUUGGUACCAGGAUUUUGAAAUUUUUUAAAGUCUUAGUUUUUUAGACCUAGGGGCUGGAACGCAGUCUUUAAAUCCCCAAAUGAUAAUUAGUGUCAAAAUAUAGGUGCAAGAAAUAUGUGCAUUUACUUGCUUUUCAAGCAAGCUAUGUUUCGUGGUGAGACUGUACUAAGUUGGUGUUUGGUACCAAGGUUUGGAAAUUUUUUAAAGUCUUUGUUUUUUAGACUUUAGGGUUAGAAUGCGCUCUUUAAAUCUCCAAAUGACGACCAGUGGCAAAAUAUAGGUGCAGGAAAUGUCUCAAUUUAGUAGCUUUUCAAGCUCGCUAUGUUUGGUGGUGAGAUAGGACUAAGUUCGUGAUUAGUGCCAAGAUUUGGAAAUUUUUGAUAGUCUUGGUUUUUUAGACUUAGCGGCUGCAUUGCACUCUUUAAAUCCCCAAAUGACGACUAGUUUCAAAAUAUAGGUGCAAGAAAUGUUUUAAUUUAGUUUCUUUUCAAGCAAGCUAUAUUUGGUUGUGAGACAGGAAUACGUUGGUGCGUGGUACUAAGAUUUUGAAAUUUUUUAAAGUCUUGGUUUUUUUUUUAGACUUAGGGGCUGGAAUGAAUACUUUAAAUCCCCAAAUGAUAAUUAGUGUCAAAAUAUAGGUGCAAGAAAUGUGUCCAUUUAGCUGCUUUUCAAGCAAGCUAUGUUUGGUGGAGAGACUGGACUAAGUAUUUGCUUCGUGCCAAGAUUUGGAAAUUUUUUAAAGUCUUGGUUAUUUAGACUUAGCGGCUGCAUUGCACUCUUUAAAUCCCCAAAUGAUAAUUAGUGUCAAAAUAUAGGUGCAAGAAAUGUGUCCAUUUAGUUGCUUUUCAAGCAAGCUAUGUUUCGUGGUGAGAGUGGACUAAGUUGGUGUUUGGUACCAAGGUUUAGAAAUUUUUUAAAGUCUUUGUUUUUUAGACUUUGGGGUUGGAAUGCGCUAUUUAAAUCUCCAA